CACCACCACGUCUACCCACUCACCAUACUGCCAGAACUGUAAGGCAAGAGGUAGCUUGUCAUUGCUGAACAUGGAGGUUGGAACCAGGGAAAACCACACCUGUGUAUACCUACCAGCAGUAUACAGGCUCUCUACAGACUCAGAUCUGAUCUUGGCAGGAAAGAGACACACCCAAGGAUUCCUCUGACGACAAGUUGCUGCAAAACACAUCUUAUGAAUGGGUCCCUUGACCUCCAACCCUGGGGAGAUUUCAGUAAAUUUCCAGAGAACUGUGAUUCCACCCCCUACCCUCUCAGGCUCAGUGAACGAAGUCAGCACAUGAAGGGCAGCACUGUGUCCCCAAGCCUGGGUGCGCAACAUGAGGCUGGUGCUGGCCCAGGCUCCGUCAGAGAGAGGAAGGGGAGUGUGGCUUUGGGCCUAACACUGGCUGCCCUGGAGGCUUUGCCAAAAGGAAAAAUACAUGUAAUUCUGUCUA